UGGAACUAACAAAUGGCUCAUCAGGUUUGUUGUGUUGUAUCUGAUGAAGUGAAUUAAUGGUUUAUGUCUUUAGUAUUCUAGGAUUUUAUCUUUUGAGAUGUGUGCAGGUCAUCAUUAUUCUGUUUUGGGGUUUGGUGAUUUCUGUUAUUUUAUUGAAUACAUGAAUGCCUAGUACUUGUGACAAUAAUUUGUUUUCCUUUUAUCCUGUCCUAUUGCACAUCAGUUUAAUUGUGCUGUAUCUGAUUAUUCGAAUUAUUGCUAUACGUGACAUGAUUUUCGUAUUCUACAGUUUUAUCUUCUGAGAUGUGUGCUGAUCAUCAUUAUUCUGUUUUGGGGGUUCAUUGAUUUCUAUUAUCUUGUUGAAUGCAUCAAUGUCUGUACUUGUGAUUUGUUUUCCUUUUUAUCCUGUCCUCUUGUUUCUAUAUCGCCCUGAUAUAUGUAGUUCUUUUGCCACAUGCAAACAAUUAUGAAAGCUUAACUAAUAAUUUUUUUCUCCUUUGCUCAGAAGAUGG
rnacentral:misc_RNA from 1 species